rnacentral:rRNA from 1 species
AGUGAACGCUGGCGGUAUGCCUAACACAUGCAAGUCGAACGGCAGCACAGUAAGAGCUUGCUCUUACGGGUGGCGAGUGGCGGACGGGUGAGGAAUACAUCGGAAUCUACUUUUUCGUGGGGGAUAACGUAGGGAAACUUACGCUAAUACCGCAUACGACCUACGGGUGAAAGCAGAGGAUCUUCGGACCUUGCGCGAUUGAAUGAGCCGAUGUCGGAUUAGCUAGUUGGCGGGGUAAAGGCCCACCAAGGCGACGAUCCGUAGCUGGUCUGAGAGGAUGAUCAGCCACACUGGAACUGAGACACGGUCCAGACUCCUACGGGAGGCAGCAGUGGGGAAUAUUGGACAAUGGGCGCAAGCCUGAUCCAGCCAUACCGCGUGGGUGAAGAAGGCCUUCGGGUUGUAAAGCCCUUUUGUUGGGAAAGAAAAGCAGCAGGUUAAUACCCCGCUGUUCUGACGGUACCCAAAGAAUAAGCACCGGCUAACUUCGUG